AAUAAAACAGAUAAAACGUUUUUUUUGGUAUUAAUUGCUUUAAUGAAACUAAGUGUGGGAACAUUUAAAUAUUUAAAAUAAUAAUUAUCUGUAAAACGUGGCACUGUUGCCACGGUUUACAGAUAAUAAAUAUUAUUAUAUUAUCUAAUAUUGAUACACAAGAAAACAAAUUAUUCUAGUUUUAAGAUCCAUAUAAAAGCCUCAGGCCAAUAUUUAACAAAACCCUCAAAUUAAUCACUUCAACUCCAGAACUGUAACUGGAUGUUUCCUAAACAAAAUAUAUAUAUAUUGUUACCUUUGCAUUAAAAUCCAAAAUACUUGCGAAUAUAUAUUGGUUAUUGGUUUACUGAAAUUAUUUUUCUGUUGUAAUAAUUUGUUGAAAUAAUUUUGUCAUCAUUCGGGGUCUCCAUGGACCCUCUCUCAGUCCUCCCAGGACAAAGGUAGUCAAAGGUGGACAGGGUUUUAUGUCUGCCACGGACACCCGUGAAAAUAAAAUAAAAAUCCUAGGAAAAAAGGAAAAAAAGUUCAGCGUGCUGUCUUGUAGGGUCCAGAUAAAGGCGGAGUGGGUAAUCGAGAGAGUCGGGAGGAUUCCCGGUGGGUCGCUUCAUUCAUGGGGCGGUCAGCUGGUGCCAAGGACGAGCAAUCACAGUAGAACAUGAAUUAAUCUUUGCAGCAAUGUUUUCUCUGAAUCGACCUGUCCCUUUAAGAGACGAUACAGCCAGUGUGGGAGCUACGAUUUGACACAAAAAUCCCUUUUCAUUUCUCACAGUUGGUUGAGUCCAUCAGCACGCGCUUCUACAAAAAAGUCUAGGCUGGAUGGAGAAGCGGGCCAGACGAGUAAAAAUGAUAGGAAGCAGUAGCUGUUUUAGGAACGAGCGGUAAAGUGCAGCAAUUCAAAGGGACCGCUAGCUCAACGUUUAAUGGUGGAAAAAAAACAAAAAAAUCUGCACCACUAAUGUUUUCUGUUAUCUGUUACUUCAUGGUGUUUGGAACUACCUAAAACCAAUGAAUUGGCGCCCUCUGCAGCUGCACGUGCUCAGCCGACAGGAGGACGUGAACCUUCCUGUUGGCUCAGAAGGCGCUGGAAAGUUGAGUAAAUGUGGCAGGUAGAAGGCCACUUAAUUAUUUUCACCUGUGUUCACCAGCUGCUUGAUUGGCAGAGGGCUGUUAAAAGCUCUUCCCUCCCAGCAGUUUGCAGAUUCAGCCUUAGACCUGUUGCAGGUAGGAGCUGCAGCAUCAGAUGCUGCCAGGCUGUAUUCUGGCGUAAAAUCCAUAGCUGGAUCACAGGCAGUUUGCCUUUUGUGGCCAGUGUAGCUCCUGUUAGCAUCCUCCUCGGCUGCCAGCCAGGUGCCGCUGCUGGGUGCAUCGCUGUGUGUGCCAGCCAGGUGAAGUGCUUUGUCGCUGUAUCGCUGCUGCACUAUUGUAGGGCCACUGUCCUAGGUGGUGCCUUUCAUGGUGAUGCUGCUGAUCCUUGGUGAGCCUCGCUGCAGAAUUGUAUCCUGCGUAGUUCCAUUGUCCGCUGUCUGCCAGCAAGAUUGGAACGACGGGAGCCGGUCAGUCUGCUUGGGUGUUCCACUCCACGCACCUUGCUGACUCCAGGAAUCCUGCACUCCACGGAGUAACUUGCUUCACGCCGGGACGGAGCAUCAGAACUGGUCCACUGCGACAGAGACUCUCUUGCAGCUCACCCAGGGGAUUGAGUGUGACUCACCUGUACAGCGUUUGGAACCUUACUUUUGUAUUAUUAAUAAUAGUAUUUUAAAUAUUGUCAACGUAAUAAAGAUUUGUAUUUUUCAUAUUAUUUGUCUCAGUCUUCCUGGCUGGAGAGUCCUGCACUACUCUGGUUUUUAGUUUUCUGGUGGCUCGGGGAAAACCAUAAUGCCACAUAAAGAAAAUGGGGAGGGGUGGGGGGAAUCAGUUCAACUGCAGGUCUCUCCUAAAUGAAGUGGACCAAUGGGGGAGGAGGGUGGCGGUGGGGGGUCUACUUCAUAAAAUGUUUUUAAAAUCAGUUGAUCUAUAGCCCACGUUUCAACAUUUUUAAUCUUGUUUGCGUGAAAUGGCCAAAAAUUCUGAAACUAAUUGUGAGCCUACAUCUAUAAAGCUCGUGGGAUUCUAUAAUUAGUCAUUGGAAUUUUCAUAAAUCGGUAGUUUUAGAGAUGAAUACUUAACCAUUUACAACAAAUCUAUGGUGACAAAACAUAUUAACCAGUCAUGACUAAAAAUGUGCCAAUAACCAUGAACUGAUUUUUCUUUGAUGUACAGAUCUCAAUUGUAAUUAAAUGAAAACAUGGCUGUUGGCAUGGAUAAAUAAAAUCCAUUGGUGACUUUAAUGGGGCAAAAAUAUAAAAUUGUUUUUUGGACUGCUCAAAGUUGGAUGAGAGAGCCACAGUGAGUGCUUUACAAACAGAAGUGUGACGUAUUUCGGGGAGCACAUUCAGCGGCAGACUGCUAUCCCAGCGCUGCUCCACGGACAGAAUGAAGAACUCUUUUGUUCCUCGCGCCAUCCGGCAACACAAUUCUUUGGCUGAGCAUCUGAGGAACCUUUAAUUAUUUUAAUCCACUAAUUUUUAAUCUAUUUAAUCUAUUGAUAUUUAACUAUUUAUUUCUGUAAUUUUAAUUUUUUUUUUUAAUUUUGUUUUUAAAUCUAUGACUCCUGUUGUUUUUAUUGUGCUUUUUGUGUGUAUGUUUUUAUGAUUGUCAGCAGAUGACCACAUUCACAUUUCCUAAGGGAUUAUUAAAGACCCUAUCUAUCUAUCUAUCUAUCUAUACCCAGCUACUGGGCUGGCAUACACAUUCUUGUUGAGCCUUUUAUUUUCCCCAAGUUUCAUGUCAGAGAACCGUC